rnacentral:rRNA from 1 species
UGGGGAAUUUUGGACAAUGGGCGAAAGCCUGAUCCAGCAAUGCCGCGUGUGUGAAGAAGGCCUUCGGGUUGUGAAGCACUUUUGUCCGGAAAGAAAUGGCUCUGGUUAAUACCUGGGGUCGAUGACGGUACCGGAAGAAUAAGGACCGGCUAACUACGUGCCAGCAGCCGCGGUAAUACGUAGGGUCCAAGCGUUAAUCGGAAUUACUGGGCGUAAAGCGUGCGCAGGCGGUUGUGCAAGACCGAUGUGAAAUCCCCGAGCUUAACUUGGGAAUUGCAUUGGUGACUGCACGGCUAGAGUGUGUCAGAGGGGGGUAGAAUUCCACGUGUAGCAGUGAAAUGCGUAGAGAUGUGGAGGAAUACCGAUGGCGAAGGCAGCCCCCUGGGAUAACACUGACGCUCAUGCACGAAAGCGUGGGGAGCAAACAGG